GACACACCCUUAUGGGGCACGACUUGCUUCAGUGGGGCUUUGGUGUUCACUGAGUCUGUCCCUUGAGUGUGUCACU
rnacentral:pre_miRNA from 1 species